rnacentral:rRNA from 1 species
ACGAGAAAGCCCUUCGGGGUUAGUAAAGUGGCGAACGGGUGCGUAACACGUGGGCAAUCUGCCCCUCGCAGGGGGACAACCGGAGGAAACUCCGGCUAAUACCCCGUAAGCUUUCAGGGUCGCAUGGCCUUGUAAGGAAAGGUAGCUUCGGCCAUCCGGCGAGGGAUGAGCCCGCGGUACAUUAGCUAGUUGGUGGGGUAACGGCCUACCAAGGCGACGAUGUAUAGCUGGUCUGAGAGGAUGAUCAGCCACACUGGGACUGAGACACGGCCCAGACUCCUACGGGAGGCAGCAGUCGGGAAUCUUGCACAAUGGGCGAAAGCCUGAUGCAACAACACCGUGUGAGCGAGGAAGGCCUUCGGGUCUUAAAGCUCUGUUGUUGGGGAAGAAGGGCGAAGGGUUAAUAGCCCCUACCUUGACGGUACCCUUCGAGGAAGCCCCGGCUAACUACAUGCCAGCAGCCGCGGUAAUACGUAAGGGGCGAGCGUUGUCCGGAAUUAUUGGGCGUAAAGAGCGUGUAGGCGGUUCGGUAAGUCUGUCGUGAAAACCUGGGGCUCAACCCCGGACGUGCGAUGGAUACUGCCGAGCUAGGGGUGGUAGAGGCGAGUGGAAUUCCCAGUGUAGCGGUGAAAUGCGCAAUAAUUGGGAGGAACACCACUAGCGAAGGCUGCUCGCUGGGCCACAACCUGACGCUGAGACGCGAAAGCGUGGGGGAGCAAACAGGAUUAGAUUCCUCUGGUAGUCAACUCCGUAAACGAUGGA